rnacentral:rRNA from 1 species
CCUACGGGAGGCUGCAGUGGGGAAUAUUGCACAAUGGGCGCAAGCCUGAUGCAGGCAUGCCGCGUGUGUGAAGAAGGCCUUCGGGUUGUAAAGCACUUUCAGCGGGGAGGAAGGCGGUGAGGUUAAUAACCUCAUCGAUUGACGUUACCCGCAGAAGAAGCACCGGCUAACUCCGUGCCAGCAGCCGCGGUAAUACGGAGGGUGCAAGCGUUAAUCGGAAUUACUGGGCGUAAAGCGCACGCAGGCGGUCUGUCAAGUCGGAUGUGAAAUCCCCGGGCUCAACCUGGGAACUGCAUUCGAAACUGGCAGGCUAGAGUCUUGUAGAGGGGGGUAGAAUUCCAGGUGUAGCGGUGAAAUGCGUAGAGAUCUGGAGGAAUACCGGUGGCGAAGGCGGCCCCCUGGACAAAGACUGACGCUCAGGUGCGAAAGCGUGGGGAGCAAACAGGAUUAGAUACCCCAGUAGUC